CCGAGAUCAUGACCCGAGCCGAAGGCAAUGGCUUAACUCACUGAGCCACCCAGGAGUUACUUACAGUGUAAGUUUUGUCUUGAAAUUGGUACAAGGAUCCCUUUAUUCACAAUUUAAAAACUUAUACUCUUGCAAUCCGAGGCAGGGGUGAAGGGGGGAGGUGUCAGGGAAGUCAAAGUCUGCCCUAGUUGGGUUUUUUUUUUCCCUCUUUACACUUUACUUCCUGCCUGCUUGUAGAUAAAGCUAGGAUUUGUGAUGCUAAACCUGAUACAGUCAAUAUUUAGAAAUUGCUACCCCCAACUUAUAAUUUGCCUUCAUAAAAUCUAGAAUUACCUUCAUCAUUUUUUUAUCUUCAUCAUUUUUAAUGUCGCUGAUUAUAAAUGACCGCAAGCAAAAGAAAAUCCAUCUUGUAUCAGCCAGAGCCUGACAGGGACGUGGGUGUAGAGAGAGUACCACCAAAUAUCUCCCUGUUAUUUCCAGACCCCUCCAAAGCAUCCUUUGUCUGGGUCUCCGCCUUACCACAGAGCUGCCUGUGCCUGGUGAGCAUUAAGGAAAAUGGGGUCAUCAGAGAAAGAGCGAGUGCCUCUGUCAGCUUGGCCUAGUAAGGUCACAUAGCAGCCCAUCAGACUUGACCCUGAUGGCUCAUGGAGGGAGGCCCAUCGUUGUCUCCCUUAAGUCAGGCUUGGAGCUCGGUGCGAAAGCCAGCCGUGGAGACAGAAAGCACCCUGAACACUGCAUGGCACCAUCUACAGCACAGCCCCAUCGAGAGCAGUUCCGGGCAUCAAGAGACACUGUCCUCGCAGGGUGACCCAGAGGUCCUGGUGGCUUUGAAAUCAAUCCAAGUUCAAGAGGGAGGCGGCACCUUCCAGUAGAGUCCUGACCCCGCUGUGCCCUUUUCCUCCCUCCCCACCAGAGCAAGAGUGAAAGCAGGGAACUCUCGAAUGCCUUCUGCUGAAAGCGUGUGUACGUUCUGCUUUGUCCUUCAUGCCAUGGUCUGUGAGAACAGGCCCUGCGGGAGAGCUCACCACCGUGCAGGGGUGCCCGGCGACGGCAGAGUCUGGAGUGCGGCAUCAGGAAGCCAGUUGUCACCACAGACUUCAGCCGUGUUCUUUAGUACCUGUUCUAUGAGUACUGAUGAUGGCUUUUUUAUCUUCAUCUGCCUAUUUCUGAGUCAUUUAUAAGCUUACUGGAGAAUGGUUAGGUCUAUUGGGCUUCCGCAAACCCCAACAUGACAAUGCUUGUUUGUUAAAAAAUACGGAAAGUUUAUAAAUGCAGUAGCUCUUUGGAAUUCCAGCCAAAAAGGACAUUCUCUGACCAUUCUGAAUAAAGCCACAAUAACAUCAUCUGUUUAUACAGUCUGUUUCUCUGCUAUGGAGUAUAGACAUCUAAAAAUGUUUUUUAAAGAUUUAUUUUACUUUUGAGUGCUUUUCUUGGAUGUCAGACUGGUGUUUUAUUUUUUAUUUGAUAUCAUGCUAAGAUAGGCAACACAGCAUCUAGUGGGCCUCUUAUAUCAGAACAACUCAUUAUGACAGAAGAAAACAUCUUACAGUAGCACCAUUUCACUCAAAAAAAAAAAA